UAGCUUAGUUGGUAGUGUGUCUGCCUUGUAAGCACUAAGCCGCGGGUUCGAUUCCCGC
rnacentral:tRNA from 1 species